GAUCCCUAAUUGACUUGGGGUCUUACGAGACAUCGGUGGAAUGAAGCAUUUCAGAUAAGAGUGUGGAAACAGACUAAAGCAGACAAUAUCUACUAGUGGUGGGUGAGCUUGAUCUGUUACACACUCAUAGUCACGUGUCUGUGUCUUUUUUAUCUUUACUUGAGAACAUGGAUUUGAUUAACGAAUUCAAAUACGGAUGAUAUGAGCUCCAUGUUGAGGCUGAGUGGUCAUAAGCAAAGUGGGAGCAUGAGCGUGGGAUGGAGAGAAUUCAAAUGAAAAACGAUGUAGAAUCAAGGACAUCGCAACUUUGGCCUCAAGUAUCACAAGGUCCUGACUCAUGCAUGUUCGAGGACCCCAUCCAAUGGGAAACAAAGUUGGUUGAAGUUUUGAUGCUUUAGAAACUCCAUUGCUUAAUCUUUAUGGUUUAAAUUCAUUCGCAUCCUCAUCCCAUAUCUCAUGAUCACGGUGGAUAACAACCUCUGGUGCAUUACACCAGCUGGUAAACUCAAAUUUCCAACUCUCGUUUCCUUUUUAACCAUCCGAUUAAGCGUAUUUACAGGUGGAUAUAGCCUUAGAACUUUGUAUAAGAUCAUAUUUAUCUGUCCGGGCUUCCUUUUUUUCAAGUAACGAAGUAUAUUGACGAUUGAGGCCUUUGGAAGGGAGAUUCCCUUAGAACAACCGCAGAAUUUCGGCGAUUCAGGAAUUUGGGACUCCACAACCAAGCUACUCCCAAAUGCUGUUCGAGAAAUCACAUCAGCAGCCAUUUGUUGUAGAUAAGGCAUUACAUCUAGGUCACACGAUCCCUCCUCGGAGACCAUGCUUUCCCAUUUGCUAACCAUGUCGUAGCAGCUAUGAUAGAAUGCUGGUACCAUACCCUGUAAGCCAAUUUAAGGAUUGAUUAUCUUUCUGUGUUUGGCCCAUUUUGCUCCUUCAUGGUUUACAAGUCCCCCUGCAAACAACUUGACAAGGGGAUUCAUAGAUGGCUUUUGGAUAUCAUUGAACAAUGCAAAC